rnacentral:rRNA from 10 species
GCCUGGUUAGUACUUGGAUGGUUGACCGCCUGUGAUUACCAGGU